GGGACUACUUGUGAGGCCAAACCAAAUAUAAUACUAUUGGCGCGGGAUUAGCACGGGAGAGCGCGCGAGAUGCGAAAAUUUUCGCUCCAAAUAAGCAAAAUCCCCAAACUCCAACUCAGACCAAAAUCCCCAAAUCGACCACCCUGACCUAGCCUCCUCCCCGAGCACACGCCGCCGCCGCCGCCCCCCACCCCGCGCGGCUGCCGACCGCUCUCCGCCACACUCCAGUGCCAGCUUCCUCCCCGAUCACGCGCCGACCACCGUCCGCCACACCUAGUGCCACUCCUCCCGGACCAUGCCGCCGAGCACCCUCCGCCGCCCCGACCACCAUUCGCCGGACCUCCAGCAACGCCCAAGCAGCCAAGCCUCCUACACGCGUCCUCCGCCAGGCUCCUCUAGGCUCGAGUUGCUCAAGUGUUUCAGCGGAAGGAUCUGUUCGAGUGAGGUUGUCCACAAGGAUGACGUCUAACUUCCACCAGAUCUGGCAUGAAACGAGGAUACCCAAGCGACUCGCAGAUGCGAAGGAAAAUUGAGCAAGGUUCCGCCUCCCAUGGUUGAGCAGUCGUAAGGGUUAUGUUGUCUCUCCAUGUUGCUGGUCAUAUGAGCCCAACUAAUAUUUGCUUCCUGUGAUCUACGGAAGGAUAAAAUUGAUGUUUCCUACCUGCCAUACUCAUCUAUUUCUGUUUUCAGUUGACAUGCCUACUGUACGAAUUACAGUCUUUGGUACAUUCACUUAUCCCUUCGAAUUUGACAAGCAUGGAAGAAUCUGAAUAUCACUUAUCCCUCUCCCGUUAUUAUUUAGCAUAUGUUAACUGACUGCUGUGUUUAUGCUUAUAUCCUUCGGUUAUUGUUUAUAACAAACCAAAUUAAGGAUUUUGUGUUCAUCUCUGAAACUUCAUAGUGAUGGUUGGUAUUUAAUCUUUCAAGGAAAUGCAGCAAGCUGUUGUACUAGGAAGAUUAUCCUGACAUGGGAGUUUUUUUAGGAACAGGAGAGUUGCACACAUAUGAAGUAUAGAAAUUUAUUCUUAAUGUGCUAGGCUUAAUGCAACUAGAUAAAUAAUGUUCAACAAGUCAUAUUGAUGUGUUAAAUUGUUUUCAGUUUCAGUGUCAAUACAAGAAAGGUAACCUUGUGUUAGAUCUUCAAUCCAAGGGAGAAAUUGGAGCAUCGGGACAUUUAAACUGAACCUAAAUUAAGGUAAUAACAUAUGUAAAGUAUGUUAUUUUCUGUUGUUCUAAAGCCCCAAUGUUUUGGUUCAUUUUAGAAAAACAGGGGCCACUCUUAGGUUCCAUUUUGAUUGAACUGAAACUGCGUACAUAGUUAACACCAUUGAGACAGACUGAGUAGCUAACCACUUAUAAGGUUUUCCAGAAAAGAAUGAUGAAAUAAAAGGGGACACCAUCGAGACAAACUGAGUAGCUAACUCGAAGUCUUGUGCAUGGAAGGAAAUUGGGAUAUUUGCUAAUUCUGUACUAGUCAAAACGUAUGUGUAGAUAUUCUGAUCAUUCUGGUUCAUGUCCUACUUAAUUAAGGUCUUCUUUUAUAGGCCUUGCGCAAAUGAUAUCUCUACUCUUACAAAAAACCGAGUUGGUGAUGAUGGUGUGCCUGCCAUCCCGCAAUAUAGACCGUCCGAUCUAUAUCUGACGGAUAGAAAGCAAACUAUGACAAUUUUGCAAAAAGAUACCCGCACCCCUCUCCAAAUUUGCAGAUAAGGACUUCCCUCGUUCAUCUUUGUCUCCCACGAGAUAAACAGCUCGUAUAAAUGCAUCUUGAUGUUCCAUGCAACGCAUGGGCCUCUUGCUAGUGAUUAUUUAACAACUUAGUUUCAUGGCGUUGGAUCUCACGUGAAUAAACUAUAUGUCGAAGUGUUUGCUGUUCUUUGCUUAACUAGAUAUCAAAGAAUAAACAACAAGCUCGUAUACAAUAUGUCAAAUUAUAAUCAAAUAACAAGCUCAAUAAUGAUAAGAGCUUUACAAGUAACAAGAUCCAUUACAAGAUGUCAAAGUUUUAAUAUAAAUUGUACCAACUUAUAAUGGUGGAUUCUAAUUAUAGUGAACUAGAUAAGCGGCCUUCGGUGACAUUUUGAGCUCUUGUCUGUUGUCUUCAACUGACAGUGUGUAGCAGCCAACAAUGUGAAUUUAUGAUGGUUAUUUAGUUUAUUUUAUUGUACAUUCUGCAGAGCUUUCCUCAUUAAUUCAAUUUUUCACAAAAUUCAGAAGGCUAUUGUAUUGCUGCGUAAACUGGAGCAAGGCCGUACCAUUUCCAUCUGACAAAACAUCCUGAAUGUCUUGUCUAGUUCUUACACUCUAACAAGGCCAUACAUAACGGUGUUGUAAGAUGAAAGUCUGGACAUGAUUUAGCUUUUAAACUUACAGUAUACUGCUCUUACAAUGUUGUAAGAUUGAACGUCGAAGAUACUACACUUCGAUACAGAUCUAUAUCAUUAUUUGAGAAGUAAACUUUUAAUCUGCAGUAGACUUGUAUCUACUAAACAUUUUAAUUUCUUGAUUAAUUUUCUGUAUCUAUCACUUCAAUGGUUACAGGUUGAUCUUUACUUGCAAUCUAAUUUGCAUAUUCGUGUGUGUUCUUCAGGAAUCAUGAUACUACUUUAUGAUCUGAUUGGUGAAAGAGGUAUUUUGUACGGUUCUCUUGUGUCCGACUUGUCUUUUUCUCUCUAUAUAAAGUAGCAUUGAAAAUGUCCUUGUAUUUCCUUUGACAUCUCAGAAGCUCAUACCUGAAUAUCAUGAUAUAUGCCUGUAAGAAAGCUCUGUAUGUUCUUUUGAGUUAAACCUAACACCAAACAUUUUAGUUUCUAUACUUGUCAGUUAAUGCUGGAAAAACAUUUGAAUUUUAUUUGCUGUACUAGUUGCCUUUGUGUGCUCAUACAAAAAUACUAGAUCCUACGAUGUCAAAAAUUCAUACAGGUUGUGGAUCACACUUCCUUUUUCUCGAACAUUGUUCCUAUUUUGUCUUAUGUGCAGUUUUUUCAAACAGAUUUCGAUGAGUCUUCACUUUCAGAAAACUGAACUUAAUAUCAGAGGCAAUCUCACCAUGCCAUUAUGGGUUUAAUUAUUUGUCCAGACCUGAAACUGUUGUCAUGCUUUCCAGGAAGGGCAACUAGAUGUGCUUAAUUCAUGUGCACAGGCUUGAAACUGCGGACAUUUUUUAGCUUCUUAUUAAAUCGAAUAUUCACUUGAUGCCUUGAUGGGAAAUUUGUCGAGAAAUUUUCUUGAUGAUGUAGCCGUUUUCUUCUAAAAGUUGGGGUGGUGCACUUUUGUAGAUUCAGAGUAUCAUAAUAAAUGUAAUGGAUAUAAUGUUUUCUAAUACUACCUCACUUGACAUUUGGACUUUUCCUGUCCAGGUUGAAAAUGUUCUUGUAAGAUUCGUCAAGAUACCUUGCCUUAACCAUAUGCCCUGAGCUCACACAGAAGUUACAGGCUUUACUCUUUGUGUUUGUUUCAUCUUGUACUGCUCAAGUUUCUAGAAACUACAUAUGCUAAAUUAUGAGGGAAGUCUUCAUGUGUAAUCAAUGAAUUGCUUACAUUGUAAAAUGUUUGAUGAUCAGACUAUAAUAUAUAUGCGAUGUGCAUCUGCA